GGCCACAUCACGUUGAAACACCAGUUCCCGUACGAUCACCGAUAUUAAGCGACGUUGAGGAUGGUCAGUACCAAGAUGGGUGAACGUUUGGGGAUAUCAAGUGCUGUAAG